rnacentral:rRNA from 1 species
UACGUAGGGGGCGAGCGUUGUCCGGAAUCAUUGGGCGUAAAGCGCGUGUAGGCGGCCAUCCAAGUCCGGUGUGAAAGCUCGGGGCUCAACCCCGAGUCUGCACUGGAAACUGGAUGGCUUGAGUCCGGAAGAGGAGACUGGAAUUCCUGGUGUAGCGGUGAAAUGCGCAGAUAUCAGGAAGAACACCGGUGGCGAAGGCGGGUCUCUGGGACGGUACUGACGCUGAGACGCGAAAGCGUGGGGAGCAAACAGG